CCUACGGGAGGCAGCAGUGGGGAAUAUUGCACAAUGGGCGAAAGCCUGAUGCAGCAACGCCGCGUGAGCGAUGAAGGCCUUCGGGUCGUAAAGCUCUGUCCUCCAGGAAGAUAAUGACGGUACUUGAGAAGGAAGCCCCGGCUAACUACGUGCCAGCAGCCGCGGUAAUACGUAGGGGGCUAGCGUUAUCCGGAAUUACUGGGCGGAAAGGGUGCGUGGGUGGUUUCUGAAGUCAGAGGUGAAAGGCUACGGCUCAACCGUAGUAAGCCUUUGAAACUGGGAAACUUGAGUGCAGGAGAGGAGAGUGGAAUUCCUAGUGUAGCGGUGAAAUGCGUAGAGAUUAGGAGGAACACCAGUGGCGAAGGCGGCUCUCUGGACUGUAACUGACACUGAGGCACGAAAGCGUGGGGAGCAAACAGGAUUAGAUACCCUGGUAGUC
rnacentral:rRNA from 1 species